AAUUAAAAUUUUCAUCCAUUUCUACUGUUAAAAAUUGGCAUAGUUGACAGAAUAACUAGUCAAUUACAUCUGGCGUGCCACAUGUAGCUCAUGUCAAUAUACAUUGACCAAUUUUUAAUAGUAAAAAUGAAUGAAAUUUUUAACA
rfam:Gossypium raimondii Chr08_contig_1296, whole genome shotgun sequence.